AUUGAACGCUGGCGGCAGGCCUAACACAUGCAAGUCGAACGGUAACAGGAAGAAGCUUGCUUCUUUGCUGACGAGUGGCGGACGGGUGAGUAAUGUCUGGGAAACUGCCUGAUGGGGGGGGAUAACUACUGGAAACGGUAGCUAAUACCGCAUAACGUCGCAAGACCAAAGAGGGGGACCUUCGGGCCUCUUGCCAUCGGAUGUGCCCAGAUGGGAUUAGCUAGUAGGUGGGGUAACGGCUCACCUAGGCGACGAUCCGAAGCUGGUCUGAGAGGAUGACCCGCCACACUGGAGCUGAGACCCGCUCCAGCCUCCUACGGGAGGCAGCGGUGGGAAUUCUUGCGCAAUGGGCGCAAGCCUGAUGCAGCCAUGCCGCGUGUAUGAAGAAGGCCUUCGGGUUGUAAAGUACUUUCAGCGGGGAGGAAGGAAGUAAAGUUAAUACCUUUGCUCAUUGACGUUACCCGAAGAAGAAGCACGGGCUACCUCCGU
rnacentral:rRNA from 1 species